rnacentral:rRNA from 1 species
UACAGAGGUCUCAAGCGUUGUUCGGAUUCAUUGGGCGUAAAGGGUGCGUAGGCGGCGCGGUAAGUCGGGUGUGAAAUCUCGGAGCUUAACUCCGAAACUGCAUUCGAUACUGCCGUGCUUGAGGACUGGAGAGGAGACUGGAAUUCCCAGUGUAGUGGUGAAAUACGUAGAGAUUGGGAAGAACACCAGUGGCGAAGGCGGCUAUCUGGACGGUUUCUGACACUAAGACUCGAAAGCGUGGGGAGCAAACAGG